rnacentral:rRNA from 1 species
UACAGAGGUCUCAAGCGUUGUUCGGAUUCAUUGGGCGUAAAGGGUGCGUAGGCGGCGCGGUAAGUCGGGUGUGAAAUCUCGGGAGCUUAACUCCGAAACUGCAUUCGAUACUGCCGUGCUUGAGGACUGGGAGAGGAGACGUGGAAUUUACGGUGUAGCGGUGAAAUGCGUAGAUAUCGUAAGGAAGACCAGUGGCGAAGGCGGG